rnacentral:rRNA from 1 species
AUUGAACGCUGGCGGCAAGCCUAACACAUGCAAGUCGAACGAGUGGCGGACGGGUGAGUAAUGUAUGGGAAACUGCCUGAUGGAGGGGGAUAACUACUGGAAACGGUAGCUAAUACCGCAUACCAUCGGAUGUGCCCAGGUGGGAUUAGCUAGUUGGUGGGGUAAAGGCUUACCUAGGCGACGAUCCCUAGCUGGUCUGAGAGGAUGACCAGCCACACUGGAACUGAGAAACGGUCCAGACGCCUACGGGAGGCAGCAGUGGGGAAUAUUGCGCAAUGGGCGCAAGCCUGACGCAGCCAUGCCGCGUGAAUGAAGAAGGCCUUCGGGUUGUAAAGUUCUUUCGGCGGGGAGGCGUUACUCGCAGAAGAAGCACCGGCUAACUCCGUGCCAGCCGCCGCGGUAAUUC